rnacentral:rRNA from 1 species
UACGGGGGGGGCAAGCGUUGUUCGGAAUUACUGGGCGUAAAGGGUUCGUAGGUGGCCAACUAAGUCAGACGUGAAAUCCCUCAGCUUAACUGGGGAACUGCGUCUGAUACUGGUUGGCUUGAGUGCAGGAGAGGAACGCGGAAUUCCAGGUGUAGCGGUGAAAUGCGUAGAUAUCUGGAGGAACACCGGUGGCGAAGGCGGCGUUCUGGACUGUUUCUGACACUGAAAAACGAAAGCCAGGGGAGCAAACGGG